CUUUAAGAUCAUCGUUUAAAGUAAAGCCUGCUCAAUGACAAGAAUAAAUAGCCGCAGUACCACUGUGCUAAGGUAGCAUAAUAACUUGCUUCUUAAUUAGAAGAUAGAAUGAAGGGUCAAACACCAAAUAUAUGUAUCUAUAGAUUACAAUAAACCUAAGAAAAAAGUAAAAACUCUUUUAAUCAAAAGCGGGACGACAAGACCCUUAUAAACUUUACAUUUAGUUGGGGAAACAAAACAAUAAAUUUUUAUUAAGACAAAACUACAUAACUUUAAAAAAAAUUAAGAAUAGUUACUAAAGGGAUAACAGCGCUAUCUCUUUUAAGAGCCCUUAUCUAAAAAGAAGAUUACGACCUCGAUGUUGAAUUAAUUUACCUAUUUAGCGCAAAAGCCUAAUAAGGUAGUCCGUUCGACUAUUAAAAAAUU
rnacentral:rRNA from 1 species